AGACUCUCCCUACCUGCAGAGAGAGAAGGGCCUGGCUGCUGGGGAACCUAACCAAGUGCCCAGGGUGGAGCAGGACUAGGGGAAGGCCAAGGGAGCUGGAAAGCUCCAGCCUGGAAACCCCCCAGGCUGUGGCCUAGUUGAAGGCCAAUUAGGUAUUUUCCUUAUAGAGAAUAUACAGUCUUCCCUCAUCAGCCUUAAGGUGAUGUUACACAACAGAAGCAAGUGACUGAGCAAGUGACAUCAUUUUCAGGAGGUGUUUUGCAGUUGUUGUUUCUCUUUUACCCUUUCUCAACAUCACUUCAUGAGGAAAGGGAUUCAUGUUUUUUUUUCCCCCUUGUUCUGAGAUCUCACGUCCUGCUAGUCAGAACUCUCUCUAUAGCUGCUGGAGAAAUAGCCCUCUUUAACAUAUGAAGAAGAUGCUGAUAACUAAAGAAGACUUCCUGUUGUGGUGUAUUUGAGUGGAAGCACUCAUGCACAGAAAGCCAGAGCGGAGUAAUAGACCAAGAGCAGAAUAGACUUCAGAAUGAACAAACUCUAGCACCUAACCCGAACCUAGUCUCUUAAUUCUCCAUUUUCCACUUCCAUUGAGCCAUAAUGAUGAUGAACGUAAAUAGAUAAAUAUCAUGAGAAGGAAGGAUAGAUAUGUGAGUGAAAUAAUAAACAGCUCCAUCAGAGCACAGGAUAAAGUAAACAUAAGCAAACAGCAUCAGCAACUA